CGCACAUUGCGCCCAUUAGUAUUCUAGUGGGCAUGCCUGUUCGAGCGUCAUUUCAACCCUUAAGCCCCUGUUGCUUAGCGUUGGGAGCUUACAGCGAUGUAGUUCCCCAAAGUUAGUGGCGGAGUCGGUACACACUCUAGACGUAGUAAUUCUAUCUCGCCUGUGAGCUGUGCCGGUCCCCUGCCGUAAAACACCCCAAUUUCUAAAGGUUGACCUCGGAUCAGGUAGGAAUACCCGCUGAACUUAA
rnacentral:misc_RNA from 1 species